rnacentral:SRP_RNA from 1 species
GGCGACGAGCGGAAGCUUGAGGUGGAUGAUGACUAUAAUGGUGGAGAAGGCCGUGAGGCUGGCCUCCCAGA